UGGCAGACGGGUGAGUAACGCGUGGGAACCUACCUAGUAGUACGGAACAACAGUUGGAAACGACUGCUAAUACCGUAUACGUCCUUCGGGAGAAAGAUUUAUCGCUAUUAGAUGGGCCCGCGUUGGAUUAGCUUGUUGGUGAGGUAACGGCUCACCAAGGCGACGAUCCAUAGCUGGUCUGAGAGGAUGAUCAGCCACACUGGGACUUAGACACGGCCCAGACUCCUACGGGAGGCAGCAGUGGGGAAUAUUGCACAAUGGGCGCAAGCCUGAUGCAGCCAUGCCGCGUGAGUGAAGAAGGCCCUAGGGUUGUAAAGCUCUUUCGGCGGGGACGAUAAUGACGGUACCCGCAGAAAAAGCCCCGGCUAACUUCGUGCCAGCAGCCGCGGUAAU
rnacentral:rRNA from 1 species